ACUAGAGUGAGAUAGAGGCAAGCGGAAUUCCAUGUGUAGCGGUAAAAUGCGUAAAUAUAUGGAGGAACACCAGAGGCGUAGGCGGCUUGCUGGGUCUUUACUGACGCUGAGGCACGAAAGCGUGGGGAGCAAACAGGAUUAGAUACCCUGGUAGUCCACGCCGUAAACGAUGAGUACUAAGUGUCGGGUAAAACUGGUACUGAAGUUAACACAUUAAGUACUCCGCCUGAGUAGUACGUACGCAAGUAUGAAACUUAAAGGAAUUGACGGGACUCCGCACAAGCGGUGGAUCAUGUUGUUUAAUUCGAAGAUACACGAAAAACCUUACCAGGUCUUGACAUUUUCUUGCGAAGUUAUAGAAAUAUAAUGGAGGUUAUCAGGAAAACAGGUGGUGCAUGGUUGUCGUCAGCUCGUGUCGUGAGAUGUUAGGUUAAGUCCUAAAACGAGCGCAACCCUUGUCGUUAAUUGCCAGCAUGUAAUGAUGGGGACUUUAACGAGACUGCCAAUGAAAAAUUGGAGGAAGGUGGGGAUUACGUCAAAUCAUCAUGCCCCUUAUGAUCUGGGCUACAAACGUGAUACAAUGGUUGAUACAAAGAGUAGCUGAAACGCGAGUUCUUAGCCAAUCUCAAAAAAUCAAUCUCAGUUCGGAUUGAAGUCUGCAACUCGACUUCAUGAAGUUGGAAUCGCUAGU
rnacentral:rRNA from 1 species